GAUUAAUGCUGGUGGUAUGCAUAACACAUGCAAGUCGAACGAAGAGGGUUUACUCUCUUAGUGGCGAACGGGCGAGUAACACAUAUUUAACUUACCUGCACGAGGAGAAUAGCAACUCGAAAGAGUUAUUAAUACUCCAUAGGUUUGAGACUCAAAUUAAAGGGAGCGUUCUGGGAAACUAGAGCUUCGCGAGCAGAGAGGAGUAUGUCCUAUUAGGUUGUUGGUGGGGUAAUUGCCUACCAAGCCGAUGAUGGGUAGCUGGACUGAGAGGUCGACCAGCCGCAAUGGGAUUGAAAUACGGCCCAUAUUCCUACGGGAAGCAGCAGUGAGGAAUUUUUCACAAUGGACGAAAGUCUGAUGGAGCAAUACCAUGUGAACGAUGAAGGUCUUCUGAUUGUAAAGUUCUUUUAUUUAGGAAAAAAAGCUUGAUAGGAAAUGAUUAAGCCUUGAUUGUACUAAAUGAAUAAGUGACAGCUAACUAUGUGCCAGCAGCUGCGGUAAAACAUAGGUCACGAGCAUUA
rnacentral:rRNA from 1 species